GAUGAACGCUAGCGGCAGGCUUAAUACAUGCAAGUCGAACGGUAACAGGUCUUCGGACGCUGACGAGUGGCGCACGGGUGAGGAACACGUACACAAUCUACCUUAUACUGGAGAAUAGCCCCGGGAAACUGGGAUUAAUACUCCAUAGUCUUUAAUGAUCACAUGAGAAAUAAAGUAAAGCUUCGGCGGUAUAAGAUGAGUGUGCGUCCCAUUAGAUUGUUGGCGAGGUAACGGCUCACCAAGUCGACGAUGGGUAGCUGGCGUGAGAGCGCGACCAGCCACACUGGCACUGAGACACGGGCCAGACUCCUACGGGAGGCAGCAGUAGGGAAUAUUGGUCAAUGGACGAAAGUCUGAACCAGCCAUGCCGCGUGGAGGAUGACUGCCCUCUGGGUUGUAAACUCCUUUUAUUACAGGAAGAAACAACUCUACGUGUAGAGUCUUGACGGUACGUGUA
rnacentral:rRNA from 1 species